rnacentral:rRNA from 1 species
AUCUAGAGAUUUUCGCAAUGCCCGAAAGGGUGACGAAGCGACGCCGCGUGGAUGAAGAAGGCCUUCGGGUUGUAAAAUCCUGUCAGGAGUUAAGAAAUAUAGGUACGAUAAUACCGUGUCUAUUUGACAAAGGCUCCAAAGGAAGCCACGGCUAACUCUGUGCCAGCAGCCGCGGUAAUACAGAGGUGGCAAGCGUUGUUCGGAAUUAUUGGGCGUAAAGAGCACGUAGGUGGAUUUGUUAGUCAGAUAUGAAAGCCUUUUGUUCAACGGAAGAAUUGCAUCUGAAACUACAAACCUUGAGUAUAGGAGGGGAGAGUGGAACUUCUGGUGGAGCGGUGAAAUGCGUAGAUAUCAGAAGGAACGCCGGCGGCGAAAGCGACUCUCUGGCCUAUAACUGACACUGAGUGUGCGAAAGCUAGGGGAGCAAACGGGAUUAGAUACCCCGGUAGUCCUAGCCGUAAACGAUGGGCACUAAGUAGAGGGGUUUU